ensembl:lncRNA
UAACCACGAAAACACAGGAUCCACCACAUUUACCUGACUACCUGCCGGCCGUUGAUUUGGGAGCCGCAUAUCCCUUAUUUUUUUUGUGCAUUUAACUUAAUCUAUAGUUCUGUCUGUCGAACUGGUCUGUGGUUGGCUUUAAUGUGUACAACGAUAUCAACGACUUAUGCAAUUUUCGGCUGUCUGAGCUACAAGUCUUCCCGAUGUAACGCUCUUGCGUCUCCAGCCAUCAGCCCUGGCCAGCAGCUGAUCCUAAAGCUUGCUUCACACCACCGCGCGGCAACUCACCGCCUCCAUUCAUUUCUAUGAGGGAAGGGUGGCAGAGGGGAGCAAUUACAAAAGCGGCUGUUAACCAGGAAGCGGUUGCCGCCCACGUGAACGCGCACAGAUUUUGCCCUACCGCUCAGCUUUCCCCGUAUUGAAACUUUCGGUGGCGGCAGCAGCCGCUUUUGAAAAAACGCCUGGCCCUUCACACCGCCGCGCUGAACCCUCCGGCAGCAAGACGGUUAUCAGGGCGGUUGCCGUGUGGCGGUGUGCAAGCAGCUUCACACUCCCAUCUAUAGCACAAGCAUCCUUUAUGUGGAUAUGUACAUGUAUUGACAUAUUUAUCCUCCUAUAGAGAUGAAUGCCAUGUUUGGCCUUGUACCUCACAUGAAUGAUAAAUGCCACAUGUGUGGCCACGGCAUUGAUAGUGGCACCACUCACUGUGACUGAACCUUGGGUUGUUUUUAUUUGUAGUGAUGGAUCGUGCUUUGAUCAGUUGGGGUGGUCUUAACAAGCCUCUAGGUAAAGCUUUAGCCUCUAAAUGGAUGAUAAAGGAAAAAGGCUGUUGAUUCACUGGUACAGCGACGGAAAAGCUCGUUACUCUUUGUAUGACUGAAGAAUGUAGGAUGUAGGGAAUCAGUAGAAAGUAUUUCCCAACUGAGGGAAUUUAAGAUAAGGGAAACUCCCACUGGUGACUUCUAUUGUUGUACUAUUUUUUUCAAGCUCUUUGAAUGAUGUCAAU